GUCCCUGUAACGCAAUGGAUAGCGUGUUGGAUUUCUAACUCGAAGUUCGUGGGUUUGAAUCCCACCUGGGAUG